rnacentral:rRNA from 1 species
UACGUAGGUGGCAAGCGUUGUCCGGAUUUAUUGGGCGUAAAGCGCGCGCAGGUGGUUUCUUAAGUCUGAUGUGAAAGCCCACGGCUCAACCGUGGAGGGUCAUUGGAAACUGGGGAACUUGAGUGCAGAAGAGGAAAGUGGAAUUCCAAGUGUAGCGGUGAAAUGCGUAGAGAUUUGGAGGAACACCAGUGGCGAAGGCGACUUUCUGGUCUGUAACUGACACUGAGGCGCGAAAGCGUGGGGAGCAAACAGG